GGGUUGUGAGGUUAAGCGACUAAGCGUACACGGUGGAUGCCCUGGCAGUCAGAGGCGAUGAAGGACGUGCUAAUCUGCGAAAAGCGCCGGCGAGGUGAUAUGAACCUUUGACCCGGCGAUGUCCGAAUGGGGAAACCCAGUGUGUUCCGACACACUAUCGUUAACUGAAUACAUAGGUUAACGAGGCGAACCGGGGGAACUGAAACAUCUAAGUACCCCGAGGAAAAGAAAUCAACCGAGAUUCCCCCAGUAGCGGCGAGCGAACGGGGAGCAGCCCAGAGUCUGAAUCAGUUUGUGUGUUAGUGGAAGCGUCUGGAAAGUCGCAGGGUACAGGGUGAUACUCCCGUACACAAAAACACACAUGCUGUGAGCUCGAUGAGUAAGGCGGGACACGUGGUAUCCUGUCUGAAUAUGGGGGGACCAUCCUCCAAGGCUAAAUACUCCUGACUGACCGAUAGUGAACCAGUACCGUGAGGGAAAGGCGAAAAGAACCCCGGCGAGGGGAGUGAAACAGAACCUGAAACCGUGUACGUACAAGCAGUGGGAGCCUUCUUUAUGGGGUGACUGCGUACCUUUUGUAUAAUGGGUCAGCGACUUAUAUUCUGUAGCAAGGUUAACCGUAUAGGGGAGCCGCAGGGAAACCGAGUCUUAACUGGGCGUUAAGUUGCAGGGUAUAGACCCGAAACCCGGUGAUCUAGCCAUGGGCAGGUUGAAGGUUGGGUAACACUAACUGGAGGACCGAACCGACUAAUGUUGAAAAAUUAGCGGAUGACUUGUGGCUGGGGGUGAAAGGCCAAUCAAACCGGGAGAUAGCUGGUUCUCCCCGAAAGCUAUUUAGGUAGCGCCUCGUGAACUCAUCUUCGGGGGUAGAGCACUGUUUCGGCUAGGGGGCCAUCCCGGCUUACCAACCCGAUGCAAACUACGAAUACCGAAGAAUGUUAUCACGGGAGACACACGGCGGGUGCUAACGUCCGUCGUGAAGAGGGAAACAACCCAGACCGCCAGCUAAGGUCCCAAAGUCAUGGUUAAGUGGGAAACGAUGUGGGAAGGCACAGACAGCCAGGAUGUUGGCUUAGAAGCAGCCAUCAUUUAAAGAAAGCGUAAUAGCUCACUGGUCGAGUCGGCCUGCGCGGAAGAUGUAACGGGGCUAAACCAUGCACCGAAGCUGCGGCAGCGACGCUUAUGCGUUGUUGGGUAGGGGAGCGUUCUGUAAGCCGUUGAAGGUGGCCUGUGAGGGUUGCUGGAGGUAUCAGAAGUGCGAAUGCUGACAUAAGUAACGAUAAUGCGGGUGAAAAGCCCGCACGCCGGAAGACCAAGGGUUCCUGUCCAACGUUAAUCGGGGCAGGGUGAGUCGACCCCUAAGGCGAGGCCGAAAGGCGUAGUCGAUGGGAAACAGGUUAAUAUUCCUGUACUUGGUGUUACUGCGAAGGGGGGACGGAGAAGGCUAUGUUAGCCGGGCGACGGUUGUCCCGGUUUAAGCAUGUAGGCGGGAAGUUUAGGUAAAUCCGGACUUCUUUUAACGCUGAGGUGUGAUGACGAGGCACUACGGUGCUGAAGUAACAAAUGCCCUGCUUCCAGGAAAAGCCUCUAAGCAUCAGGUAACAUCAAAUCGUACCCCAAACCGACACAGGUGGUCAGGUAGAGAAUACCAAGGCGCUUGAGAGAACUCGGGUGAAGGAACUAGGCAAAAUG
rnacentral:rRNA from 1 species